rnacentral:rRNA from 1 species
AGUGAACGCUGGCGGUAGGCCUAACACAUGCAAGUCGAACGGCAGCACAGGAGAGCUUGCUCUCUGGGUGGCGAGUGGCGGACGGGUGAGGAAUACAUCGGAAUCUACUUUUUCGUGGGGGAUAACGUAGGGAAACUUACGCUAAUACCGCAUACGACCUACGGGUGAAAGCAGGGGACCUUCGGGCCAUGCGCGAUUGAAUGAGCCGAUGUCGGAUUAGCUAGUUGGCGGGGUAAAGGCCCACCAAGGCGACGAUCCGUAGCUGGUCUGGGAGGAUGAUCAGCAACACUGGAACUGAGAGACGGUCCAGACUCCGACGGGAGGCAGAAGUGGGGAAAAUUGGACAAUGGGCGCAAGCCUGAUCCAGCCAUAGCGCGUGGGUGAAGAAGGCCUUCGGGUUGUAAAGCCCUUUUGUUGGGAAAGAAAUCCAGCUGGCUAAUACCCGGUUGGGAUGACGGUACCCAAAGAAUAAGCACCGGCUAACUUCGUGCCAGCAGCCGCGGUAA